GGGCACCUUCGGGGGCCUUUAACCAUAGGCGGGGGUGAUCGCACCCAUCGUCGUUUAGCAAAACGGAAGACAGUAA
rfam:Tateyamaria sp. ANG-S1 contig_9, whole genome shotgun sequence.